rnacentral:rRNA from 1 species
GUGAGGAAUAUUGGUCAAUGGGCGAGAGCCUGAACCAGCCAAGUAGCGUGAGGGAUGACUGCCCUAUGGGUUGUAAACCUCUUUUGCAGGGGAAUAAAGUGCAGGACGUGUCCUGUUUUGUAUGUACCCUGAGAAUAAGGAUCGGCUAACUCCGUGCCAGCAGCCGCGGUAAUACGGAGGAUCCGAGCGUUAUCCGGAUUUAUUGGGUUUAAAGGGUGCGUAGGUGGUUUGAUAAGUCAGCGGUGAAAGUUUGCAGCUUAACUGUAAAAAUGCCGUUGAAACUGUCUGACUUGAGUGUAAAUGAGGUAGGCGGAAUGCGUGGUGUAGCGGUGAAAUGCAUAGAUAUCACGCAGAACUCCGAUUGCGAGGGCAGCUUACUAAGCUACAACUGACACUGAAGCACGAAAGCGUGGGGAUCAAACAGGAUUAGAUACCCGUGUAGUCC